AGUAAAUACAAACUCCUUAGCCGAUUAACCUAAACCUUUGCUGGCAUGGUGUUCGGCCGAUCGGUAUAGUGGGAAACUGCUAUGCUUCCCGCUUUUCUUUUGGAAAGGAGUGCAAUAUACUCGGG
rnacentral:ncRNA from 1 species